rnacentral:rRNA from 1 species
GUGGGGAAUAUUGGACAAUGGGCGAAAGCCUGAUCCAGCAAUGCCGCGUGAGUGAUGAAGGCCUUAGGGUUGUAAAGCUCUUUUACCAGGGAUGAUAAUGACAGUACCUGGAGAAUAAGCUCCGGCUAACUCCGUGCCAGCAGCCGCGGUAAUACGGAGGGAGCUAGCGUUGUCCGGAAUUACUGGGCGUAAAGCGCACGUAGGCGGUUACUCAAGUCAGAGGUGAAAGCCCGGGGCUCAACCGCGGAACUGCCUUUGAAACUAGGUAACUAGAAUCUUGGAGAGGUCAGUGGAAUUCCGAGUGUAGAGGUGAAAUUCGUAGAUAUUCGGAAGAACACCAGUGGCGAAGGCGACUGACUGGACAAGUAUUGACGCUGAGGUGCGAAAGCGUGGGGAGCAAACAGGAUUAGAAACCCUAGUAGUCC